UACGAAGGGGGCUAGCGUUGUUCGGAAUUACUGGGCGUAAAGGGCGCGCAGGCGGCCGCUCAAGUCAGAUGUGAAAGCCCCGGGCUCAACCUGGGAACUGCAUUUGAUACUGAGUGGCUAGAGUUCGGGAGAGGAGAGUGGAAUUCCCAGUGUAGAGGUGAAAUUCGUAGAUAUUGGGAAGAACACCGGUGGCGAAGGCGGCUCUCUGGACCGAUACUGACGCUGAGGCGCGAAAGCGUGGGGAG
rnacentral:rRNA from 1 species